AUUUAUUUGUUUUCUAAUUAUUGAGUCACUUAAGUUAAAUAAAAUAUAAUUAGGAGCAAACAAAUAAUUAAUUAAGUACAUCUAUAUUAUACCUCUUAAUGCGUCUGAGGUACAUCCCACUGCAUAACAUAUAAUUAGUCAGGACAACAUUAAAUUUAUGAGUUAAGAAUUAAAUGUAAGGAAAAACAUUUUAAUUAUCAUAUAAAGACGAACGUGUGGUAUUACAUUAAAGCCGUUAAAAGAAUUUUUAGUGGAACUAGAACCUUAGGUCUUUGGUAUCCAAAAGGAACUCAUAUUGAUCUACUUAUUUAUUCGGAUUCUGAUUGGGUUGGUUGCACAAUUGAUCACAAGAACACUAGCGGAACAUGUCACUUUUUAGGCUUCGCACUAGUCUCAUGGUUUAGUAAGAAACAAAAUUUCAUUGCAUUAACCACGGUCAAAGUCGAAUAUAUUUCAACCACUAGUUGUUGUGUACAAGUAUUAUGGAUGUAACAAACACUUAGGGAUUAUAACUUGUCUUUUGAUCACAUCCCUAUUAUGUGUGAUAACACUAGCUCUAUAAAUUUGUCUAAAAAUCCUAUAUUACACUCACGAACGAAGCACACUGAAAUUAGACAUCAUUUUCUUUGAGAUCAUGCUCAAAAAAGGUGAUAUUGCAUUAGAAUUUGUCAACAUGGAAAAUCAAUUGGCCGAUAUCUUUACUAAACCUCUUGCUCUCAUGAAUUCACACACAUUUGUAGUGGUUUAGGUAUUGUUGACGAAAUUGAAGUGCAUAAUUGAUUUAAGCUACUAUGUGACUAUAAUAAAAAAGAAAAAAAAAUCUGUCUUAGAGGACGAAUCCGGUAUUCUAUUGGACGUCUGGUAAACAUAGAAACCAAAAAUUAAAAACGCAAACGGAGGCCUUUUCUUUCAUUUUCUUUUUCGCUUCUCCACUUCCUUCUUCCUACGCUUGGUCACAUAUCCCUAUUUCAUCAACAUACAAUCUUCACAAACCAUUAUUCUCUCUUAUCUAGGAUCUUUACUUUACUAAUUUCCCAAAAUUUAACCUUUUUCGCGAUUUUUCCCAAAUUUGAGACUUAGCCCCUGUUUGGCCCCCAUUACAUGGAAAAAUUAAUGGGUGGAAUAUUAUUUUUUUGAAAAAUGAGUGGUUGAAAAAGAAGGAAAAAUUUUCGAUUUACGUGUAAUAUUAUUUUAUGGAAUAUUGUGUGAUUGAAAAUAGGAGAGAGAAAUAUGAAAUGUAAUGUAAUGUAAUGAAAAUUAAUGGGGCUCAAACGGGGGCUUAAUUUUGAAUUCUACAAAACCCUUCGAAUUUUACACAAAAUCUUCAAAUUUCAAACAAUGAUGAGUAAAAGGCAGUCCAGGAAGAGGAUGAAACAAACGGUUUGAUUUUUCUAAAUUCUCUAUUGAGGCACCUGCAUUUCGCUUAGAAGAUUACUUUGAAACAAUAGGUUGGGUGUCAGUUUGCACUAUGGAAGAAAAUGCAUAUCCUAGACUUAUGCGUGAGUUUUAUAAAUAUGGUCGUCACUCCCCGUACGGAUAGCAUUUCAUAUUUCAUUAAAAUUGUACGGUUCACUAUCACAAAAUUUUUAAUUCGGGAUAUUCUUGAACUUGCACCAUGUGAUACUCAAGUUUUUGUGUACAAAGCUCACCCAACUAUAGCAGGGUUAUAACCUGACCGAUAAAUGCCGUCCUGUGACGGGAAAUGAUUUUGAAAACAUCACAAAAAUUAGCACACACUUGCAUACAAGGUUUUACAAAAUAUUAUAACCAAUGUCAUUUUACCUAGGACGGGGCAUCUGAAUGCGGUAAAUUAUUUUGACUUGUUUAUUCUUGAUUCCUCCCUUGCUAGCCGCAAAAUAGAUAUUUCGACGAGUCUCAUGAAACUUGUUCACUCCUCUCAUAUUACCAAAGCUUUAUAUUAUGGCAUGUUAUUAACAAGAAUUUUCAAGUAUUUCAACAUGCCUCUAGAUGGUGAGAAAGUCUUAAAACCUUGACCCACUAACACUAUAAAUAUUCAAAACCUCAAACGCAUGAAAAUCUAUAAAACUUGGGGUCAAUGGGUUGCUUACACAAAUGGCUUUGACCUCUCCUCAGGCCAUUCAACACUUGCAUUCAAGGAGGAAGAGGAGGAGGACGACGACGAUCACCUACACAUCCUCCUCACACUGACAUCUGAUUGUCCAUCAUCUUCUUCCCGUGGACACUUUUAUUGAGGAUCAAUAUAAUUUACUCAACGGGCAUCUCGACUCACUCACGUCUUCCGUUGAUGGACUUAGCGGUCUUCUUCAUCAUGUUCAAUCACAGCAAGCUGCAAUACAGGCUCGACAGGAUGCCAUUCUUGCAUAGCAAGCGGAGAUGCAGGCUGAGCGAAUUGCAUUCUAUGCUCACUUUUACGCACAUUUUUUUCCACCACCUCCUUUGGAGCCUUAGUUUUUAGUUUUAUCAUUUAUCUUAUGAAUAUUUUUGUAAUCCCGAACUCUUUAUGACUCUAGCUUUUUGUGUUUUGAUUAUGAAAUUAUGAACUUAUGUUUCUUUUUUUAUUUGUUAUUUUUUAUUAUGCCAAAAGGGGAGAAAUUAUAUGAGAUGAUAUAAUGCAUGAUAGGAAUACUUAAGUAAGAG
rnacentral:lncRNA from 1 species